CCCGCCCCCCACCGCUCGGCCCGGCAUGCUUUGCGGCAAGGGGCGGCCGGAUGCCCGCACUGCAGCACGCUGGAAGCUGUAGUACGGACGGGACAAGGCGGAGGGGGGAGGGGCCCGCACUGCAUGCCGGGAGCCGUAGUCCCGGCCGAGCGGCGCAUGCUGGGAGGUGUAGUCUUCAGCCGGCGAGGCGGCGCGCUGCCUCCUGGGAGCUGUAGUCCGUGCGGGUUCGGGGCGCGGGCCACGGCGGGGCGGCAGAGGAGCCGGGUGGGCGCCGGUUCUCUGGGCCGCGCCCCGCGGAGCCCGGCCGGGAGGAGCCACGGGCGCGGCCACUGCCGCAGGGUCUCCGCGUGCAGGCACAGCGCUGGGCGUCGCGAAUUUGCCGUGGGCAUCAGCAGGCUGUCAUCAGUACAUCAUCACCAGGCACUGCAGGCUGUCAUCAUUGCAUGGGCUGGGUACGGCGGAUAUUGCAGUGCCCAUCUUACUCCAGACUGAUGGUGUCAGACACCAUGGGUCCUUCUCUACCAUAACUGCGAAAUCGUAUUUUAACAUUCUUUUAAUCAAGGAGAUUGCAGGAGUUUGGGUGCAGAUGCAGCCAGCUGUUCCAGCGGUGACGAACCCUCACUGUGUGGAUGCAGAGGCACACCGGGAUCAUGCUGCUUGGCAUUUAAUGCAAAAUCAGUAGGUUUAGCAAAGCCCUUGCCUGCUACCGACCAAGCAACAAGAAACAGCUUGGAGUGGUCUGCCAACCAGCAAAGAUCAAACAGUCUGGAAGAUGCUCUCCACCUCAUAAAACUCAGCCACCGCAGUCUGAAGCAUAGCGGCAUGACUCUACCUUCAGGGAGGCCUGACUGUGGAGGACCUCCCAGGACACCGGGAACCACGCUCGCAUGGCUGGAGCCACCACUCUCAGCACCCUGCUCCUCCUGACAACUCUCACUCCUGGCAGCAAGGAGAAAGGAAGUAAAGAUAACCCCUUUUCUGUAACUUUGUAGUGUUCUUUGCGUUAUUCAUCACUCUUUCACACAGGCAAUAAAUAUCCAAACUCCUUCAUGCCGAUCCAGUUAUUGCACAGUAAUUAAUGCAUGCACUGAGUCCGUCCCGACCUAAACCAUGACAGGGUGUGGAGAAGAAUCAAUGUCUGCUUAGAAAGAAAAGAUGGCAUGAAUACAAACAAGGAUAUAGGAUCCAGACUUGUUUUCUGAGGACCUGUGAUAUGUUUUACGUGUUUACACUAAACCAUUUGGAAAGAAUUCCAUACUUUGCCAAACAAACUCAGAAGUCAAAACCACAAUAGAAAUAACUUUUUUUCUCUUGUAGGUUUUGAUCCUUUUGUAAGAAUGUUGAGAAGUCUGCCUCUCUGCAAAUGUUUCUUUCAUUAGCCUUUCAUAACAUUUGGUUUAUAUGCCAUCCAGAACUUGUGUAACUACCAUUUUCUGCUUCUUCACUCUGUUUUUACUUCAGAUGCUUUUAUUGUGGGUAACAUCCAAUUUUACCAAUUCAAAUGGAUGGGUACCAAGUCAUAAGAGACUUGGAACAGAAAGAACAUCUUGAUCUUUUUAAUGGUAAGAAAUCAAUAUUGACAUUUCAGGACCAACUUGCAAUUUUAUUUCAUGGAAAAAGCACAUACUUCUCUGUGAUUUAUUUAAAAAAUCUGUCAAAGUACAACAGCAUAUUAUCAAGAAAAAGUUUCAUUUUUUGCUCCAUUCUUAAAAAGAAAGAGAUGACCAGGCCAUGAUCUGCUAUUCUUGACUCUCAGGUCCCCACAAUGGCUCUUUAAAUUGGCAAGAAGUGCUUUUCAUGAUAGAAUUUCUUAUCUCAUACUACCUGUUUUGUCAUCUCUCCUUUUCUGCUGUCUCAGAAAAGAAUUUAAAAAGCUGUGAAUGUAUGCUGAACAUGCUCUGCUGAAUUCAGUUCUUCAGAGCUUUCCACUUUCUCUUUUUCCUCUAACAUUCAUGUUGUCCUUUACAAGAUCCUCCUAUUCCAACUUUGUGUUGUAUCUACUGUUUCCUGUACACAAACACUUUUGACAUUUUUUGUCUGAAACCACUACACCUGAAGAAAAUCUGUUCUCCAUAGAAAAGUAACUGUUAACAUGCCAGCAUUGGUAAAGCACAGUGGGUUGGAGAUGGUUAUCAAAGUGAACAGUGUCUGUCCAGAGAGGAAAGUAGUCAAGAAGGUUCACUUCAUUAAAUGUCUCUGAAUGUAGGGAAUUGUAUUUUGCAGUGAAAGACCUGAAUUGUUUGGGAACUGGCUGGACUGUAGUAAUAAGCAGAUGUUGACUGUUGAGGUAAGGUACCAGAUAAAGAGGGGUCUGUACCCAAGCUGGAGCAGCAGCGCUGGAAAUCCUGAAAGCAAAGCUGGUUUUGUUGGGAGUGUGUUGGCAUGCUAAUGUCCAGUGUAGGUGCUGGAAUCAGAAUUUCUGAAGCAAAGUUUACAGCUGGGGAAUGUACAAAAAGCUACUUAAUCUAUUACUACUAUAAAAAGAUACUUAAUUCACCAUCUUUGUAAAUAGAGGGAAAAAAUACAACAGCAUAUCUUUAA